rnacentral:tRNA from 1 species
GGUAAGAUAAGUUAAAGGAAAACUUUUGGGCCCAUACCCCAGAUAUGCGGGCUAAACUCCCUGCUCUUACCA